rnacentral:rRNA from 1 species
UACGGAGGGUGCAAGCGUUAUCCGGAUUCACUGGGUUUAAAGGGUGCGUAGGUGGGCAGGUAAGUCCGUGGUGAAAUCUCUGAGCUUAACUCAGAAACUGCCGUGGAUACUAUUUGUCUUGAAUAUUGUGGAGGUGAGCGGAAUAUGUCAUGUAGCGGUGAAAUGCUUAGAUAUGACAUAGAACACCAAUUGCGAAGGCAGCUCGCUACACGAAUAUUGACUCUGAGGCACGAAAGCGUGGGGAUCAAACAGG